rnacentral:rRNA from 1 species
GACGAACGCUGGCGGCGUGCUUAACACAUGCAAGUCGAACGAUGAAGCCGGAGCUUGCCCUGGUGAAUUAGUGGCGAACGGGUGAGUAACACGUGAGUAACCUGCCCUUGACUCUGGGAUAACUGCUAGAAAUGGUAGCUAAUACCGGAUACGACCCUCGGCGGCAUCGCCAGGGGGUGGAAAGAAUUUCGGUCAAGGAUGGACUCGCGGCCUAUCAGCUAGUUGGUGAGGUAACGGCUCACCAAGGCGACGACGGGUAGCCGGCCUGAGAGGGUGACCGGCCACACUGGGACUGAGACACGGCCCAGACUCCUACGGGAGGCAGCAGUGGGGAACAUUGCACAAUGGGCGCAAGCCUGACGCAGCAACGCCGCGUGAGGGAUGACGGCCUUCGGGUUGUAAACCUCUUUUAGUAGGGAAGGAGCGAAAGUGACGGUACCUGCAGAAAAAGCACCGGCUAACUACGUGCCAGCAGCCGCGGUAA